GCCCCGGCUAGCUCAUCCGGUAGAGCAUGAGACUCUUAAUCUCGGGGUCGGGGUUCAAAACCCCACGUUGGGCG